GGGGCUGUAGCUCAGUGGUAGAGCGCGCGCUUUGCAUUACGGUGAAUGAUUUGUGUUGCGCGAGGCCCAGGGUUCGAUCCCCUGCCGCUCCA